GUAGUACUUCCUCCGUCCGAAAAUACUUGUCAUAAACAUGGAUGUAUCUAGACAUAUUUUAAUUCUAGAUAUAUCAACUUUUAUCCAUUUGUGGACCGGUAAUUCCGGACAGAGGGAGUACUAG
rfam:Triticum urartu cultivar G1812 contig548647, whole genome shotgun sequence.